AUAGGGGAGCCGGAGGGAAACCGAGUCUUAACCGGGCGUUAAGUUGCAGGGUAUAGACCCGAAACCCGGUGAUCUAGCCAUGGGCAGGUUGAAGGUUGGGUAACACUAACUGGAGGACCGAACCGACUAAUGUUGAAAAAUUAGCGGAUGACCUGUGGCUGGGGGUGAAAGGCCAAUCAAACCGGGAGAUAGCUGGUUCUCCCCGAAAGCUAUUUAGGUAGCGCCUCGUGAAUUCAUCUCCGGGGGUAGAGCACUGUUUCGGCUAGGGGGCCAUCCCGGCUUACCAACCCGAUGCAAACUGCGAAUACCGGAGAAUGUUAUCACGGGAGACACACGGCGGGUGCUAACGUCCGUCGUGAAGAGGGAAACAACCCAGACCGCCAGCUAAGGUCCCAAAGUCAUGGUUAAGUGGGAAACGAUGUGGGAAGGCCCAGACAGCCAGGAUGUUGGCUUAGAAGCAGCCAUCAUUUAAAGAAAGCGUAAUAGCUCACUGGUCGAGUCGGCCUGCGCGGAAGAUGUAACGGGGCUAAACCAUGCACCGAAGCUGCGGCAGCGACGCUUAUGCGUUGUUGGGUAGGGGAGCGUUCUGUAAGCCUGU
rnacentral:rRNA from 1 species